rnacentral:rRNA from 1 species
GAUGAACGCUGGCGGCGUGCCUAAUACAUGCAAGUCGAGCGAACGGAUAAGGAGCUUGCUCCUUUGAAGUUAGCGGCGGACGGGUGAGUAACACGUGGGUGACCUACCUAUAAGACUGGAAUAACUUCGGGAAACCGGAGCUAAUGCCGGAUAACAUUUGGAACUGCAUGGUUCUAAAGUAAAAGAUGGUUUUGCUAUCACUUAUAGAUGGACCCGCGCCGUAUUAGCUAGUUGGUAAGGUAACGGCUUACCAAGGCAACGAUACGUAGCCGACCUGAGAGGGUGAUCGGCCACACUGGAACUGAGACACGGUCCAGACUCCUACGGGAGGCAGCAGUAGGGAAUCUUCCGCAAUGGACGAAAGUCUGACGGAGCAACGCCGCGUGAGUGAUGAAGGUUUUCGGAUCGUAAAACUCUGUUAUUAGGGAAGAACAAAUGUGUAAGUAACUGUGCACAUCUUGACGGUACCUAAUCAGAAAGCCACGGCUAACUUCGUGCCAGCCGCCGCUGUAA